AAUCUACCCUUUGGUGGGGAACAACACGCUGAAAGGCGUGCUAAUACCGCAUAAUCUCCUUCAACUUCGCAAGAGGAAGAGGGAGGAAAGCCUUUCGGGGCGCCAGAAGAUGAGCCUGCGGCUGAUUAGCUAGUUGGUGGGGUAAAAGCCUACCAAGGCAUUGAUCAGUAGCUGGUCUGAGAGGACAGCCAGCCACACUGGGACUGCGAUACGGCCCAG
rnacentral:rRNA from 1 species